rnacentral:rRNA from 1 species
AUUGAACGCUGGCGGCAGGCCUAACACAUGCAAGUCGAGCGGAUGAAGGGAGCUUGCUCCUGGAUGCCGCGGCGGACGGGUGAGUAAUUCCUAGGAAUCUGCCUUGCAUUGGGGGAUAACGUCCGGAAACGGGCGCUAAUACCGCAUACGUCCUGAGGGUGAACGUGGGGGAUCUUCGGACCUCACGCGACCAGAUGAGCCUAGGUCGGAUUAGCUAGUUGGUGGGGUAAAGGCCUACCAAGGCGACGAUCCGUAACUGGUCUGAGAGGAUGAUCAGUCACACUGGAACUGAGACACGGUCCAGACUCCUACGGGAGGCAGCAGUGGGGAAUAUUGGGCAAUGGGCGAAAGCCUGAUCCAGCCAUGCCGCGUGUGUGAAGAAGGUCUUCGGAUUGUAAAGCACUUUAAGUAGGGAGGAAGGGCAGUAUGUUAAUACCUUGAUGUUUUGACGGUACCAAAAGAAUAAGCAACGGCUAACUACGUG